CACGUAGUUAGCCGUGGCUUCCUCCUUGGGUACCGUCAUUAUCGUCCCCAAAGACAGAGCUUUACAACCCGAAGGCCUUCAUCACUCACGCGGCGUUGCUGCAUCAGGGUUUCCCCCAUUGUGCAAUAUUCCCCACUGCUGCCCCCCGUAGGAGUCUGGGCCGUGUCUCAGUCCCAAUGUGGCCGAUCACCCUCUCAGGUCGGCUACGCAUCGUCGCCUUGGUGAGCCAUUACCUCACCAACUAGCUAAUGCGCCGCGGGUCCAUCUUAUAGCGGAUUGCUCCUUUGGUUAUCGAUCCAUGCGAAUCAACAACUUUAUGCGGUAUUAAUCUUCCUUUCGGAAGGCUAUCCCCCUCUAUAAGGCAGGUUACCCACGUGUUACUCACCUGUCCGCCGCUAAUCCGUUCCCGAAGGAACUUCAUCGCUCGACUUGCAUGUGUUAGGCACGCCGCCAGCCGUUCGUCCUGUAGCCGAGGAGUACAAACUCU
rnacentral:rRNA from 1 species